AUCGCUUCUCGGCCUUUUGGCUAAGAUCAAGUGUAGUAUCUGUUCUUAUCAGUUUAAUAUCUGAUACGUCCCCUACCCGGGGACCAUAUAUUAAAUAGAUUUUUGGAACAGGGAGAUGGAAUAGGGGCUUGCUCCGUCCACUCCACGCAUCGACCCACCCAGAACACUCCCA
ensembl:snRNA U2 U2 spliceosomal RNA